UACGGAGGGUGCAAGCGUUAUCCGGAUUCACUGGGUUUAAAGGGUGCGUAGGUGGGCUGGUAAGUCAGUGGUGAAAUCUCCAGGCUUAACUUGGAAACUGCCAUUGAUACUAUCAGUCUUGAAUACCGUGGAGGUCAGCGGAAUAUGUCAUGUAGCGGUGAAAUGCUUAGAUAUGACAUAGAACACCUAUUGCGAAGGCAGCUUACUACGCAGAUAUUGACGCUCAUGCACGAAAGCGUGGGGAUCAAACAGG
rnacentral:rRNA from 1 species